rnacentral:tRNA from 1 species
CACUAAGAAGCUUCCACAUGCAAGCACUAGCCUUUUAAGCUAGCGAGGGGCACGUGCCCCUUAGUGG